CACGUAGGGGGCGAGCGUUGUCCGGAUUCAUUGGGCGUAAAGGGCGCGCAGGCGGCCCGGAAAGUCGGAUGUGAAAACUCGAGGCUCAACCUCGAGCGUGCACCCGAUACUGCCGGGCUUGAGGCAGGUAGGGGAGAUCGGAAUUCCUGGUGUAGCGGUGAAAUGCGCAGAUAUCAGGAGGAACACCGGUGGCGAAGGCGGAUCUCUGGGCCUGUCCUGACGCUGAGGCGCGAAAGCUAGGGGGAGCGAACAGG
rnacentral:rRNA from 1 species